GCGAACGAAGCUAGUGAAAGCUGCGUCAUACUUUCCAACUUGCUUGCAAUUUGGACGCUGUGGCCAGCCCAGUUGGGCUUGAUUGCAACAGGUGAAAGUAGGUAAAGAAAAGAUUCCAUUUUCUCUCGCCCUUGACRCACCUAUUGCAUUUGAGCUGAACAAAAUAGAUUUGUUUGCCCCGUCUAGAAACACGGACCAAGGAGUCUAACAUAUGUGCGAGUACUGGGGCAACAAACCUCGGUGCGCAAUGAAAGUGUCAGAGGCUGGAAUGUCUUGUACAUUGCACAGUCCGCCGGCCUCAAUCCCUCGGGAAAAUGGUCUGAGUGUGAGCAUACAUGUUGGGACCCGAAAGAUGGUGAACUAUGCUUGAGUAGGGUGAAGCCAGGGGAAACUUUGGUGAAGGCUCGCAGCGAUUCUGACGUGCAAAUCGAUCGUCAAACUUGAGUAUAGGGGCGAAAGACUAAUCGAACUAUCUAGUAGCUGGUUCCCUCCGAAAUUUCCCUUAGGAUAGCUGCAAUCUUUAUAUUAGCCAGUUUUGUCA
rnacentral:rRNA from 1 species